UCCCUCUCUCCAAUCUCCACCGCCGCCGCCGCCCCUGCCUCCUCUCGGUUUCUCAUGCUGCCGCUCCAACGAAGAGCGUGCCGCUGGUGCUUAGAUUCCGGGGACAUCUCAUGGUCUUCAUUGACGGAUGGAGGGGAAGAGCAGCCGCGCCAGGCGGCAUGCCUCGCCGUGCCGCAUGGCAGCCGCUGCCCCAUGCUUUGUUGGCGCCGUCUCAUCGUCUUCAUAGACAUGCGCAUCUCUGUCAGGAUCGCGCGUCCAUGCCUCCCAUCUACCGGGCUGGAGUGGCCGCCUCCUGGUUGAGGCAUCGCGCGGCAUCGAACGUCCUCGGCUGCUGCCGCUGCUGCUGGCCAGGCUGAGGUGAGCACCAUGAAGAUGAUGUCAGUGGCUGAUAUAGAGAGCUCCUCGAACAGGGAAGUAGCAGUUCUGGAGGAACUCGAAGAUGUCAUGUUUCAGUUUUGAUGUGAAUCGCUAAAACAACAAUUAGAAGAGACCGUGCAUUGCAGGUUCAGAACCAAUUUAUAUGGGUAUGUACAAGCUGUUUGUUUCUAUCUUGGUUUUAAAUUGGUUUUACAUUGGUGAAUUAGCAUAGCAUACUGAGUGUUGAGCUUUAUUUCAUCUACAUUUGGUUCUGAACAUGUAUGCUUUUAAGAAACUUUGUAUUCUUCUCUAUUUUGAAGAGCCCACAAAGAGACUAAAAGAAUGGUUGUAGGUUCCUUUCUGUGGUUUAUGAACUAUGGGACUAGGCCGAACUAACUUUGUUUAACAAAUAACUUCCUCAUCCCUAAAUAAAUCUGUAUUUGGCUGAUUUCAAGAGAAAUGUUUGAUCAUCAUUUUUAGAUGAUUGACAUAUGGAUCUUAGCGAGAUUCAAGGGAACGCGUGAUGUGACUGUGCCUUGUAUAAGCAAAGUUGAGCUGUUGAGGUAAUUAUUCUGUAGGUGCCUUCUAUAAACAGUUAAACACGCAACACAUCUAUAUGUUCUUUUCAUAUGGUUCCUUAUAUAAGUACAUUUCAGUAAUAUGUGUCGUGUUUUACUUUUGUCCAUGGUGACUAUGGCAUUCUUGGCUUCUGUUAUUAUGGUUGAGUGUAAAAUUGGUUGUUGAACUGAGGAAUAUGCUAAUAAAUCAUUUGUCUCAUUCGUUCUUGUAAAUAGUUUCUACUCCAUGUGGUUAUGAGCUGCUACAUUUUUCCAGUUACAAGUGUCCUUUGCUUAAUGGCUCAGUUUCUUUUGCUCGAGCCACACCUGCAAGCCCGAUGUAAAACUCACCGCGUGCACCGUGUCGUGGCUUAGUCUCUUCGAGUUUCAGCGUUGACAUCAUGUUUCUCUAACUGGCUUGCUUAGCCAUGGACAGUGAGACCACCCUUCAUUGAUUUCUUCAUCUAUAUGUUUAUUCUAGGCAUCAUGUUUUUGUUGGCUGCACAAUUGUUCAAACUCUAUCCUAGCUGUAGGUUUAUUUGAGGGAGAUUGAGUAGGCGUGUUUAUUUUCUAUAUAUAAAAUGGAUUCAACAUCCAACUUUAGUCAAGAACAAACCAUUAUUGUUUUUACGGUUUUAUGAGGUGUUGCAAGAUUGAUUUGAGUUGUUCUCAUUUAUGGUUUUCAGAUUAUUCUAUCCUGAAGUAUUGGUUUAUUACCGAGGAAGCCUUAAACAGAGAAGCUGAAUGCAGUUUUUGUAUCUUUCAUCAAAGUCCUAAAUGGUCCAAUGAAAAUCUUGGUAUGCACAGUUUCAGAGCUUCAUCACAUUAUAGUAGGGAAAAAUGGUAUGCAAAAUGUCAAAAGCUUCAUUUUGGUCCAUUAGAUAGUUUAUAGCUUUGUCACUGGAGCUGUGACAAAAUAAUCGCAGCUUGUGAAAAUUAUAUACAACCAUGAAUGCUCCAUAGUUUUCCAUGCAACACAGCUACUGAAUCCGUAAGACAUGCUUAUUUCUGGCAGAAUCUUAGUGGAUAAAUUAGCAUUGUGUAAGAUCUGCCAUGAUAGUUUUCUCAAUACCAUUUUGCAUUUUGGGAUUGUUUGAGCACUAAAGAAUGUUAACAGGUUUACCAUUUCUCAUCUCUUUGUGAUAUCCGUAGGUAUUCUGGUGUCUCAGUUAGUCCCCAGCCUCUUUCACUGACCCAUAAAUUAUCUGUCUCUAGGUUUCCUCAAUUGUAUUCUGGUUUAGAACAAGAAAACUAUUUUUGCCUCAGCUACUUUGUUGGUGUCGUGUACAUUGUCAUGGAUUUGAUGUCAAGAAGUUCCCGGUGUUUUAUUAUACUUCCAGUCUCAGUAUAUGAUGGCAUGAUAUUAUGAUAUUACCCUAAACCUGCUCUCCCGCUCAUUCAAAUCAGGAUGUCGGCGGACGCGUCUACUGCGUGUCCCCAUCCGUCCGCAACGUCUGCAACUGUAAUCACAGAAUUAGCAGCGUCCCGCGUCCGCCACUUCUGACUGCUCGCUAUGCCCGGCGGGCACAUGCGGACGUCCGCAUCUGCCUUGCAAACUCUGUAUACAUCAAGCAUAAUACAAUCCGUGCUAGAAAAUGACCAAAGAAACAUCUUUAGUUGCAAAUGAGGCCCAACAUCAUGUAGACAUACAUAAGCUGAAUCUCAUGUAAAAGCGUACACACGCUCAACCUCAUGUACAAUAGUAAUUUAAGAGUUAGGGCCACCUGUUAUAAUAGUUUUUUGACCAAUCAGACUCUGGAAUAUCAAGACGAAUUGCUCCCAACAAAUUUGUGUUAUGCUGACUUCCAUAAAAAAAGUCUAUGCUCAGUUGUAUGAGUUAAUCCAGUUUUAGGACUGAACAAUAGAUUAAUACACACAUAUUUCGUUGUGAUUUGUGGCAAUUUUGCGGCAGGUACAAUGCUAAAAAAAUCAUUUCUUGUUCAAUUUUAUGGUCAAGAUCUUAGGUUGAUGAUAACUUGAUAUGUGGUUCUCCUGUAGCAUUAGUUAUAUUUUGGAUUAUCUUGCCCAAAACUAACUACAUGAAAAAUGACUACUUUAUUUUGUACCAUGUUAACUUAGGCCUGAAAUAUGAAAGUUACUUAUCAUACAAGAAGAGGCAAAAUAACAUUUGUACCAUAUUUGGUUCAAGUCUACCAGGUAAAUAAUUUCAAAUGAUCAGAUUGAGUUGUUUUAGAAAUGAAAAAUGGAACUUGUCCUUGUUUAUCUUUCCUUUUUGUGUUAAAAUAAGAAGAAUGAUACACCACACACUGCCCUUUGGUUAUUUUUGCUCCAUGCGUUUUGCAGCAGAUUAUUAUUAGUAGAUAUUUAAGGCUUUUUUAGUCUACCUUAGAUUUUUGACAUGAUUGGUGUUCACAUUUCACCAAAGAUCCUUUUGGAUGCUUUCUUGUAGAUACUCUAGCUCUCAAAAGCAGUCUGUAAGUAUCAAUGUAGAUAAUUUAAUCUUUAUUUCCGAUUGAUUUAAGAUACACACAUAUAUAAUGGCUACCAAUGCUCUGCAUCACCCACAUAAUUGUUGGUUCUAAUUGGCUUCUUGCGCCAUGUUUUCCUCUAGCGGAGAGUGAAAGCCACAACUUGACGAGGACAUUCCCACGGAAAAGCCUUGUAUCAUAAAACUUCCAAUUCAAUGCUAUUGCAUGCUUCUUCGCCUAUGACCGGCAAAGCACAAUGUAUAGGAUGUUUGGACAAAGAGCUACAAGGAGAGCACUCUUCAACGAUGGGAAUAUCCAAUGAAGCUGCAAAUUGUUGGGUGUAUGUAUAUGUGUACCGAAGUUCAGUUGAAUCCUGUGGGAAAAAAGAAGUAUUGGGACUGCGUAUCCAAGCAAUUGAUGUCAUGGACUCCUUCAUAGAACCUUGUAAGCGAAAAAGAAGUUGCCGUGUGCCUGUACAAAGAGCUAGCGAUCCAACUGAAACUCCGUUGGCACAACAGAUAUGUUUUCAGAAACUUCCUUGUUUACCUGGUUUGUUGACUUGCUGCUGUAAUCAUCUUACCAACUUCAAGUUUUCACGUUCCAAUUGGAAGUCCAAUUGCACAACAGAAACUCCAAUGCCACAACAGGAUCCAAGAGAAACUCCAAUGCCACAACAGGUACCUUUUGGAAAACCUUUUUGUUUAACUGCUUUGCUGCUGCAACAACCGGUUACAAUAAUGUCAAUAACUACUUUUCAGCAUCCAAUUGAAACUCUUUAAUUUCUUGUUUGUUUAAUUGGUUUGCUAUUAUAACUCCGAGUUGAGAGGUUUUGCUAACUUCAACUUUCGAAAUCCAAUCGGAACUUCAAUGGCAAAACAUGUUAGCCCAAGAUCAAAGAGCGAGGUCCCCAUGGACGUUGUAUCAUCCCACAGCAGUGGCACCGGCCCAAUCAUGCAUCAUGAAUUGCCAACUGCUGAUGCUCUAGAGGCUAAACUAGUGGUAGAAAGAGAUUCUGCUUCUGCAUUUAGAGAUGAAGUUGACAUGUUGAGGAAGCAAACAACACAAUCAUAAGAAGUACUCAAUAUAACCAUUAAAUAUUUGGUGGAUUUCAAAACGAAGCAAGCUGAGACUGACCACAUUGUUAAGGUCCUAAAGGAAAAAAGGAAAUUAAAUUCCCACUUGGUAAAUCAUAAGUGAAAUGUUCUUUCCAUCGUCGAAUAACCUUUGUGUUGUUUGUUCAUGUAAUCGAUCAAACCAUUUGUUUUAGAG
rnacentral:rRNA from 1 species